GUAGGGUGCAAGCGUUGUCCGGAUUUACUGGGCGUAAAGAGCGCGUAGGCGGUCUGUUAAGUGUGAAGUGAAAUCUCCAGGGCUCAACCCGGAAACUGCUUCGCAUACUGGCAGACUUGAGGAAUGCAGAGGUUUGUGGAAUUCCUGGUGUAACGGUGAAAUGUGUUGAUAUCAGGAGGAACACCCAUGGCGAAGGCAGCAAACUGGGCAUUAUCUGACGCUGAGGCGCGAAAGCGUGGGUAGCAAACAGGAUUAGAUACCCUGGUAGUCCACGCCCUAAACGAUGGAUACUAGGCGUAAGAGGUAUCGACCCCUCUUGUGCCGCAGCCAACGCAUUAAGUAUCCCGCCUGGGGAGUACGGCCGCAAGGUUGAA
rnacentral:rRNA from 1 species